GACAGAGGUGCCGAGCGUUAGGCGGAAUCACUGGGCUUAAAGCGUGUGUAGGCGGAUCUGUAAGUACCUUGUGAAAUCCCACGGCUCAACCGUGGAACUGCUUGGUAUACUGCGGGUCUUGAGCCACCUAGGGGCAAGUGGAACAAACGGUGGAGCGGUGAAAUGCGUAGAUAUCAGGAGGAACACCUGUGGUGUAGACAGCUUACUGGACCACUUCUGACGCUGAGACACGAAGGCGUGGGUAGCAAACAGG
rnacentral:rRNA from 1 species